rnacentral:tRNA from 1 species
GGGGUAUUAACACAGCGGUUAGUGUAGCGGCCUCUUAAGUCGAAGGUUCGAAUCCUUCAUGCCCCACCA